rnacentral:misc_RNA from 1 species
UACGGAGGAGCCAUGCGUUAUCCGGAAUCUUCGGGUUUAGAGGGUCCGUAGGCGGGCAGUUAAGUAAGUGGUGAAAGUCUUCCGCUUAACGGGAGAACUGCCAUUGAUACUGAUUGUCUUGAGUUAUUAUUAAGUGGUUAGAAUGAGUAGUGUAGCGGUGAAAUGCAUAGAUAUUACUCAGAAUACCGAUUGCGAAGGCAGAUCACUAAUAAUAUACUGACGCUGAUGGACGAAAGCGUAGGUAGCGAACAGG